rnacentral:rRNA from 1 species
AUUGAACGCUGGCGGCAGGCCUAACACAUGCAAGUCGAACGAGUGGCGGACGGGUGAGUAAUGUCUGGGAAACUGCCUGAUGGAGGGGGAUAACUACUGGAAACGGUCGCUAAUACCGCAUACCAUCGGAUGAGCCCAGGUGGGAUUAGGUAGUUGGUGGGGUAACGGCUCACCAAGGCGACGAUCACUAGCUGGUCUGAGAGGAUGAACAGCCACAUGGGAACUGAGACACGGUCCAGACUCCUACGGGAGGCAGCAGUGGGGAAUAUUGCACAAUGGGCGCAAGCCUGAUGCAGCCACGCCGCGUGUAUGAAGAAGGCCUUCGGGUUGUAAAGUACUUUCAGCGGGGAGGCGUUACCCGCAGAAGAAGCACCGGCUAACUCCGUGCCAGCAGCCGCGGUAAUAC